UACGUAGGGUGCAAGCGUUGUCCGGAAUUAUUGGGCGUAAAGAGCUCGUAGGCGGUUCGUCGCGUCGGCUGUGAAAUCCCGGAGCUCAACUCCGGGUCUGCAGUCGAUACGGGCGGACUCGAGUUCGGCAGGGGAGACUGGAAUUCCGUGGUGUAGCGGUGAAAUGCGCAGAUAAUCGAGGAGGAACACCGGUGGCGAAGGCGGGUCUCUGGGCGAAUGAACUGACGCUGGAGGAGCGAAAGCG
rnacentral:rRNA from 1 species